GUCGAACGAACGACCUCGGGCUUGCCCGGGGAAGUUAGUGGCGAACGGCUGAGUAACGCGUAGGUGACCUGCCCUGAAGUGGGGAAUAACUGCCCGAAAGGGUGGCUAAUACCGCAUACGGUCAUGAGUUCAGUCUCAUGACCAAAGCCUUUGGGCGCUUUUGGAGGGGCCUGCGUUCGAUUAGCUCGUUGGUGAGGUAACGGCUCACCAAGGCGACGAUCGAUAGGUGGUCUGAGAGGAUGAUCACCCAGACUGGGACUGAGACACGGCCCAGACAACUACGGUUGGCAGCAGUCGGGAAUUUUGCUCAAUGGGGGAAACCCUGAAGCAGCAACGCCGCGUGAGGGAUGAAGGCCUUCGGGUUGUAAACCUCUUUUCUCAGGGACGAUAAUGACGGUACCUGAGGAAUAAGCCACGGCUAACUACGUG
rnacentral:rRNA from 1 species